rnacentral:tRNA from 1 species
GGGGUUGUGGCUCAGUGGUACAGCACUUGCCUAGCACGUGAGAGGUGCUGGGUUCGAUCCUCAGCACCACA